UGGGGAAUAUUGCACAAUGGAGGGAACUCUGAUGCAGCGACGCCGCGUGAGUGAUGAAGGAAUUCGUUUCGUAAAACUCUGUUCUAUGGGAAGAAAAGGACUGUACCAUAGGAGAAAGCUCCGGCUAAAUACGUGCCAGCAGCCGCGGUAAUACGUAUGGAGCGAGCGUUGUCCGGAAUAAUUGGGCGUAAAGGGUGCGCAGGCGGCUUUACAAGUUGGAUGUGAAAUAUUGUGGCUCAACCACAAACGUGCAUCCAAAACUGCAAAGCUUGAGUUAAGGAGAGGUAAGUGGAAUUCCUGGUGUAGCGGUGGAAUGCGUAGAUAUCAGGAGGAAUACCGGUGUCGAAGGCGACUUACUGGACUUAAACUGACGCUCAGGCACGAAAGCGUGGGGAGCAAACAGG
rnacentral:rRNA from 1 species